rnacentral:rRNA from 1 species
GACGAACGCUGGCGGCGUGCCUAAUACAUGCAAGUUGAGCGCUGAAGGUUGGUACUUGUACCCACUGGAUGAGCAGCGAACGGGUGAGUAACGCGUGGGGAAUCUGCCUUUGAGCGGGGGACAACAUUUGGAAACGAAUGCUAAUACCGCAUAAAAACUUUAAACACAAGUUUUAAGUUUGAAAGAUGCAAUUGCAUCACUCAAAGAUGACCCCGCGUUGUAUUAGCUAGUUGGUGAGGUAAAGGCUCACCAAGGCGAUGAUACAUAGCCGACCUGAGAGGGUGAUCGGCCACAUUGGGACUGAGACACGGCCCAAACUCCUACGGGAGGCAGCAGUAGGGAAUCUUCGGCAAUGGACGAAAGUCUGACCGAGCAACGCCGCGUGAGUGAAGAAGGUUGUCGGAUCGUAAAACUCGGUUGGUAGAGAAGAACGUUGGUGAGAGUGGAAAGCUCAUCAAGUGACGGUAACUACCCAGAAAGGGACGGCUAACUACGUG